AACGAACGCUGGCGGCGUGCCUAACACAUGCAAGUCGAGCGGUCCAUGGGUUUCGGCCCAUGGGUAGCGGCAGACGGGUGAGUAACACGUGGGUAACCUGUCCUUGGGUGGGGGAUAACUACUCGAAAGGGUGGCUAAUACCGCAUAAGACCACGGCCUUGCGGGGCUGCGGUCAAAGGUGCAAAUCGCCUGAGGAGGGGCCCGCGGCCGAUUAGCUAGUUGGUGAGGUAAUGGCUCACCAAGGCGACGAUCGGUAGCUGGUCUGAGAGGAUGGUCAGCCACACUGGUACUGCGACACGGACCAGACUCCUACGGGAGGCAGCAGUGGGGAAUAUUGCGCAAUGGGCGAAAGCCUGACGCAGCAACGCCGCGUGGGUGAAGAAGGCCUUCGGGUUGUAAAGCACUUUUGUCCGGAAAGAAAUGGCUCUGGUUAAUACCUGGGGUCGAUGACGGUACCGGAAGAAUAAGGACCGGCUAACUACGUGCCAGCAGCCGCGGUAAUAC
rnacentral:rRNA from 1 species